UGUUUUAGUAACUAUGUAGUACUAUAUAUAUAUUAGACUGUAUGUAGUGUAUUGUGUUUCCUUUUCCUACCAUGCUGUGUCUGUAGUUUGUAUGCCUGUAUGUCUAGCACCUCUGUAGUGUGUCUCCGUAUAACACCUCUAGUGUCUGCAGCAAGGAGGUCACAUUCCUAUGCUAAAUGGCUGCGAGGGUCCACAGGAAGGGACAAGACCAUUUGUCUCUUCCCGCCACUUAACUCAACCUUUUGAUGUGUAUGAAUGAAAACUGUAUAUCUAGACACCACACAGUGUGAUGGGCAGAGAUUCUCUCAGCGCAGCGCCCGAGUGUGCUGGGUCUGUCUCUCCCUUGCGCAUUGAAUUAAACCACAAAUCCUCUGAGGAAACUUUGUCAGCGUGUUCUUCAUCGUCCUGCAUUUGACUCCACGAAUAAGGGCAAAAUAUCAUAACAGUUUUGGCGACCACGAAGGGACAGGAAAUAUCUUCCACUUGAAACAACGAGAAUCAACAAGAAGGUGAGUAUCUUUUAUUAAACACAACUUACCACCUUCAUUAGGCGUUGAUUUUCCUUGGUGCAAUUUGGAAGUGACUCCUGUUCUGUAUUUUAAGAAAUAGUUACGUGGACGGGACUUUGAUGUAACAACUGAUAAUGAGUUUGUCUUUUAAUGUUGACGUCAUUUAAUGUGGUAGUGCUAGCAGUAUUAACAGAGUACGCGGGAGCGUCAAUCUGUUCAGUAACGUCUGCGUGCUGAAGUAGAGCACGGCAGCGUUCCGGACCACGUCGGGUCCUCGACGCUGAGAAACGCGUCGGUAGUAACGUGUGUCGGUAUUUGACAGAAGGACACGUUUCGAGCCACGUCGGGCUCACGGGCGAAGUAGCGUCCACUUUCCUUAGUAACGUCUGCGUGCUGGGUGAAGUCACGUAACGUUCCGGACCACGUCGGGUCCUCGACGCUGAGAAACGCGUCGGUAGUAACGUGUGUCGGUAUUUGACAGAAGGACACGUUUCGAGCCACGUCGGGCUCACGGGCGAAGUAGCGUCCACCUUCCUUAAAACAGUAACGUGUGUCGGUAUUUGGCAGAAGGACACGUUUCGAGCCACGUCGGGCUCACGGGCGAAGUAGCGUCCACCUUCCUUAAAACAGUAACGUGUGUCGGUAUUUGGCAGAAGGACACGUUUCGAGCCACGUCGGGCUCACGGGCGAAGUAGCGUCCACCUUCCUUAAAACAGUAACGUGUGUCGGUAUUUGGCAGAAGGACACGUUUCGAGCCACGUCGGGCUCACGGGCGAAGUAGCGUCCACCUUCCUUAAAACAGUAACGUGUGUCGGUAUUUGGCAGAAGGACACGUUUCGAGCCACGUCGGGCUCACGGGCGAAGUAGCGUCCACCUUCCUUAAAACAGUAACGUGUGUCGGUAUUUGGCAGAAGGACACGUUUCGAGCCACGUCGGGCUCACGGGCGAAGUAGCGUCCACCUUCCUUAAAACAGUAACGUGUGUCGGUAUUUGGCAGAAGGACACGUUUCGAGCCACGUCGGGCUCACGGGCGAAGUAGCGUCCACCUUCCUUAAAACAGUAACGUGAUAUUUCCUGUGUGUGUCGUUUUGGGUCAGAACACAUCAGACGAGGGAGCGUCUGUGUAAUAAUUUGUUGGACAAGUUUUGGUGUUGCUGAUUGCUGUUAGUAGCCUAAGUGUUUCGAAGUAACACUGCAAAUUGUGAAAAAACUGGGCUGCGUGCCAAAGUGUGUGCAAGAAGAGAACCUUGGUUGUUUACCAAUGCGAGUGAAUGCGAGAAAGUGCACUCAAUGUUGUUUUGUUCGGAGCUCCAUCAGUGUUGUCAUGUCUACAGAAUAACGUAUUGUUGUGUUAGGCCUACGUGAUAUGUUUGUUAUAUGUGUACACAAUAUAGUAUAUAUAACCCAUAUAAUAUAAGAGUAAAAGCGCAUAUUUUCCUUUCGUGUAGUUAACGGCUCAUAAUAGCUAAUCUGCGUAAUUCUGAAGGGCUACCAACUACGGGAAUGAUGACGGAGAAAGAAGUUUUAUGCGGGGAUCUAAUGGCAGCGGCAUUAAAAGCUAUGGUUAAAAGAUAUGGGAAAGCAAUGAGAACUAAUCCCCCAUUCCCUAGCAAAAAUGACUCCGGUGUAAUUUCAGAGAAGGCACUGAACGUAUGGUGGUCCCAACAGAAAAACAAUAAAGAGAAAGGUAAAUAUGCAGCAAUGUGUGUUAGCUGAUGUAAUUAAUAGCCUCCCUGAAAUUAAAUCAUGUGUGUGCCAAUAUGUCGAUGAUUUAUUAAUUUCGUACAAAAUACGGACACGCAUUGCAGAGACUUAGAUGUUAUUUUAAAACAUCUGGCAAAACAUGGUGUGAAGUGUAACCCACGCAAAGCACAGAUCGCACAAACAGAAGUCGUUUAUCUAGGGUAUAUGGUUUCACAGGGGUGUAAGAGAAUGACCACAAACCGAAUUGAAGCCAUAACAGAGUGGCGGCGACCUACUAUAGUACGAGCGCUACGCAAAAUACUUGGUAUUUUUAAUUAUUGUCGGACCCAUAUACCCAACUACUCAACAAUUGUUCAACCGAUAAACGACCUCUUAAAGGGAGCGGGGGGUCCACAUGACGGGAUAGAAUGGUCGUCUGAGUGUGAGACGGCUUUUUCCAUUUUAAAACAAAAAACUUCGCACUUCGCUCCCCAACCCACUUGUGCCUUUCACACUAUAUACUCAUGUAAAUACAGGACACAUGGCGGCGGUGCUGAAGCAUGGGGACAGACAAAGGCCGGUUGCAUAUUUCUCCUCUAAAUUAGAUGUGGUUGUAAAAGCGAUGCCGGACUGUUUACAAGCCGUUGAAGCUGCCUCCAUUGCCUUAAAUCAAGCGUUGCCGUUAAUUAGCACACAGGAAAUUGAUGUUGUAGUCCCUCAUUCUGUUCUGUCUAUUUUGUCAAGAAAAAGGUUGACAGCAGUACACGUGGCUCGAUGGACUCGAUGGGAAACAAGUCUUCGGAUGCCAUCAGUACAUUUAAAACAUAUAACUACUUUGAACCCAGCUACCCUAUUCCCAAAUCCUGAUGAGGGACAACCUCAUCACUGUUGUGAUGUAGGGGAAAGAAAUAUGUGCUGGUGCUCAUUGAUCAUUUUACUAAAUGGGUAGAAGCAUUUCCAACAGCGCACAACACAGCAACUGACGUAGCCAAAGUGCUAUUAACCGAAAUAAUUCCAAGAUGGGGUUUGCCAUGUGCUAUUGACAGUGAUCAAGGUACUCACUUUACAGGAAAAAUCAUUAAAACAGUAUGCCGAGCACUGGGGAUUAAACAAAAGUUUCACUGCCCUUUUCAUCCCCAAAGCUCCGGUCUGGUGGAACGUGCGAACCGCAGCUUAAAAAACAAACUAACCAAACAGUUGUUUGCAGGCACUGGAGAAGACUGGGUUUCACACUUACCGGCUGUCCUUCUUUCCCUAAGAGCAGGCCCCACUAAUCCUGAAUCACUCUCUCCUUUUGAAAUACUAACAGGUAGACCCAUGAGGACUCCCGGGGAUUUGUGUAUUGCAGGAGGAGAAUUGCAGGUGAUGGGAGAUAGGUUGCUGGAAUAUUGUAAGCUUUUGUCUCAGUGUGUACCACAGGACCCACGGACAAAACCGGAUCCAGUGACAGACCUGGAGGAGAGCCCCGCAGUCCAACCCGGAGACCAAGUCCUGGUGAAGUCCUUCCAGAAAAAGACAUUCGGCCCUCACUGGACUGGACAACAUACUGUGUUACUCACCACCCCAUCAGCUGCCCGCUUGACCGGAAUACCAACAUGGAUUCACCUGACUCGUCUGAGAAAGUACACGAGUCCAACACAACAUGAAGCGCAGCUCAAUCCUUCUUCCCCACAAAGUACUGGGAAGCCGGUUUGUGUUAACACACCUUAAGGCAGAAAGAUAUGCGGAUCCGCAGUUCUCAAAUGUGCACCAACGCGAGUGGAUACAUCUGGACUUGGGACCAUACUUUUAAUCAAACUGGAUGGGGAUCUUUCCAAUGCAACAAGGACAUAUGGAGAGUUGUAAACUGUCAAUUGUGGGGUUUGAAAAACCCAGGAAAACUUCUGGACAAUCUUUAAAUUGUGAGAAAUUGAUUCUCUCACCAGAACUGUACACAGGCCAACCCGAGGAGGAUGGGUCCCCCCUGCUGAGCCUUGGUUCCUCCCAAGGUUUCUCCCCUUUAUGCUAGGGGAGUUUUCCUUGCCACUGUUGCCAUGUGCUUGCUCACUGGGGGUAUAGGCCUAAAUAGGUUAUGGGGAAUAUGGCAUUUAGCACCAUAUUCCCAAAUACAAAAUGGGGGACUGAUAGGUUCCCUGUUUUAGUAACUAUGUAGUACUAUAUAUAUAUUAGACUGUAUGUAGUGUAUUGUGUUUCCUUUUCCUACCAUGCUGUGUCUGUAGUUUGUAUGCCUGUAUGUCUAGCACCUCUGUAGUGUGUCUCCGUAUAACACCUCUAGUGUCUGCAGCAAGGAGGUCACAUUCCUAUGCUAAAUGGCUGCGAGGGUCCACAGGAAGGGACAAGACCAUUUGUCUCUUCCCGCCACUUAACUCAACCUUUUGAUGUGUAUGAAUGAAAACUGUAUAUCUAGACACCACACAGUGUGAUGGGCAGAGAUUCUCUCAGCGCAGCGCCCGAGUGUGCUGGGUCUGUCUCUCCCUUGCGCAUUGAAUUAAACCACAAAUCCUCUGAGGAAA